rnacentral:rRNA from 2 species
GAGUUGCGAACGGGUGAGUAACGCGUAGGUAACCUGCCUGGUAGCGGGGGAUAACUAUUGGAAACGAUAGCUAAUACCGCAUAAGAACAUUUACUGCAUGGUAGAUGUUUAAAAGGUGCAAAAGCAUCACUACCAGAUGGACCUGCGUUGUAUUAGCUAGUUGGUGAGGUAACGGCUCACCAAGGCAACGAUACAUAGCCGACCUGAGAGGGUGAUCGGCCACACUGGGACUGAGACACGGCCCAGACUCCUACGGGAGGCAGCAGUAGGGAAUCUUCGGCAAUGGGGGGAACCCUGACCGAGCAACGCCGCGUGAGUGAAGAAGGUUUUCGGAUCGUAAAGCUCUGUUGUUAAGGAAGAACGUGUGUGAGAGUGGAAAGUUCACACAGUGACGGUACUUAACCAGAAAGGGACGGCUAACUACGUGCCAGCAGCCGCGGUAAUACGUAGGUCCCGAGCGUUGUCCGGAUUUAUUGGGCGUAAAGCGAGCGCAGGCGGUUAGAUAAGUCUGAAGUGAAAGGCAGUGGCUCAACCAUUGUAGGCUUUGGAAACUGUUUAACUUGAGUGCAGAAGGGGAGAGUGGAAUUCCAUGUGUAGCGGUGAAAUGCGUAGAUAUAUGGAGGAACACCGGUGGCGAAAGCGGCUCUCUGGUCUGUAACUGACGCUGAGGCUCGAAAGCGUGGGGAGCGAACAGGAUUAGAUACCCUGGUAGUCCACGCCGUAAACGAUGAGUGCUAGGUGUUAGGUCCUUUCCGGGACUUAGUGCCGCAGCUAACGCAUUAAGCACUCCGCCUGGGGAGUACGACCGCAAGGUUGAAACUCAAAGGAAUUGACGGGGGCCCGCACAAGCGGUGGAGCAUGUGGUUUAAUUCGAAGCAACGCGAAGAACCUUACCAGGUCUUGACAUCCCUCUGACCACUCUAGAGAUAGAGUUUCCCUUCGGGGCAGAGGUGACAGGUGGUGCAUGGUUGUCGUCAGCUCGUGUCGUGAGAUGUUGGGUUAAGUCCCGCAACGAGCGCAACCCUUAUUGUUAGUUGCCAUCAUUCAGUUGGGCACUCUAGCGAGACUGCCGGUAAUAAACCGGAGGAAGGUGGGGAUGACGUCAAAUCAUCAUGCCCCUUAUGACCUGGGCUACACACGUGCUACAAUGGCUGGUACAACGAGUCGCAAGCCGGUGACGGCAAGCUAAUCUCUGAAAGCCAGUCUCAGUUCGGAUUGUAGGCUGCAACUCGCCUACAUGAAGUCGGAAUC